ACACACUAAUAGCAUAUUUUAAGGCUGGCACUAUAUUUUUCCUUCUGAUGGAAUUGUGAGGGUAUGGACAACCAACCAUAAUAUGGUUCUGCAGUGAUGAAGAAUGUGCAGCUUAUACACAGAUCUUUUUUCUCAGCACACAGUUAGCAGGUUGGUUUCUGUUGUUUCCUGAAUUUUCCGUAUUUCUGUGAAGUUUUGAGUUUUGACAUCUUCUGCUUAAAGUGACCGUUUAAAAGCAAGGAACAGCAAAGGUAUUCCAGCUAAGGGAGAGAGACAAUGCUAGCCAGAAGAUCAUUAUGAAAAAAAUGGUCUUUCAGCUUCAUUCUAUUUUGUGAGGUAUUGCUGCUACUACAUUGUGCUUCAGAUCUUGUUGGUUUUUUUUUUCAAUCGAAAGCUUCAAAUCUUGUUAUUCCAUCCAUCCAGCAAGACCAGAGUUCUCUUAUUGGUUUGUUCUUUUGAUAUAUUGCAUAAAUAUAAGUGAUAAUCUUUAGCCUAUUAGCUUGAUUGGUUAUAUAUCAAUUUACAUUACUCUGAAAGAAUGGUAGCUGAUACAACUAUAUUAGCAAUGUGCAAAACAUUACCUGUUAACUGGGAUUUUCUCUCUGUAUUGGCAGUUGCUUUAAUUGACGAUUCAUUUAAUAGCAUGCGUGAUUGAGACAAAAAUAAAAUUAGCAGCAAUACUGUGCACGGAAAUGAAACAUCUUGAUAUUCUAACCCAUGGUGGAUAGUCAUUUUAUCUGAUACAACGAAAAUCUUGAUUUGAUCAGGUGGAAGGGAAGCCUCCUUCCUGCUGGUUGGAGCUUUUCAAUGCUAUUUUGAUGCCACAACAUGAACUGCAAUUCAACAUUUAUGUACUUUUGGCAAAGACAAGUUCAUGUACUCUGUAUUUAGUCG
rnacentral:lncRNA from 1 species